rnacentral:rRNA from 1 species
UCUAGCUUGCUAGAAGAUGACGAGUGGCGGACGGGUGAGUAAUGCUUGGGAACUUGCCUUUGCGAGGGGGAUAACAGUUGGAAACGACUGCUAAUACCGCAUAAUGUCUUCGGACCAAACGGGGCUUCGGCUCCGGCGCAAAGAGAGGCCCAAGUGAGAUUAGCUAGUUGGUAAGGUAACGGCUUACCAAGGCGACGAUCUCUAGCUGUUCUGAGAGGAAGAUCAGCCACACUGGGACUGAGACACGGCCCAGACUCCUACGGGAGGCAGCAGUGGGGAAUAUUGCACAAUGGGGGAAACCCUGAUGCAGCCAUGCCGCGUGUGUGAAGAAGGCCUUCGGGUUGUAAAGCACUUUCAGUUGUGAGGAAAAGUUAGUAGUUAAUACCUGCUAGCCGUGACGUUAACAACAGAAGAAGCACCGGCUAACUCCGUGCCAGCAGCCGCGGUAAUACGGAGGGUGCGAGCGUUAAUCGGAAUUACUGGGCGUAAAGCGCACGCAGGCGGUUUGUUAAGCUAGAUGUGAAAGCCCCGGGCUCAACCUGGGAUGGUCAUUUAGAACUGGCAGACUAGAGUCUUGGAGAGGGGAGUGGAAUUCCAGGUGUAGCGGUGAAAUGCGUAGAUAUCUGGAGGAACAUCAGUGGCGAAGGCGACUCCCUGGCCAAAGACUGACGCUCAUGUGCGAAAGUGUGGGUAGCGAACAGGAUUAGAUACCCUGGUAGUCCACACCGUAAACGCUGUCUACUAGCUGUGUGUGUCUUUAAGACGUGCGUAGCGAAGCUAACGCGCUAAGUAGACCGCCUGGGGAGUACGGCCGCAAGGUUAAAACUCAAAUGAAUUGACGGGGGCCCGCACAAGCGGUGGA